UAACACACUCUCUCUGUUCGAAUAACGACCUCGUCUGCGGGACUUGCAAGCCGCCGGAGUUCAUCGAGUUACGAUGGGACACGGUUCCUCUCGUUUCGCCAUCCCACCGGGGAUAUACGGACAUUUCCGGAGAUCGAGAAGGCAACCGGAGUGACCUGCACGCCUGUCGGAGCUACGAGUCGUCGCCCGAAGAUCGGAGGCAACGUGGGAAACGACCGAAGCCACAACGAGACUGAUUCAUCUUGUCGGUUGAUAGAUGAAGUGAUCAAGAAAACAAGCUAGGAUGAACCUAGAAACCCAUUUAGAAUAAACAAUGUUUUGAACUAUUUUUGGUACAAUGUUUGAAUCUUUGUUAUGA
rnacentral:lncRNA from 1 species